GUAACGAUGAAGAACGCAGCGAAAUGCGAUACGUAGUGUGAAUUGCAGAAUUCCGUGAACCAUCGAAUCUUUGAACGCAAAUUGCGCUCGAGCCUCGGCCAAGAGCAUGUCUGCCUCAGCGUC
rnacentral:rRNA from 1 species